CAGCAGCCGCGGGAAUACGUAGGGUGCGGGCGUUAAUCGGAAUUACUGGGCGUAAAGCGUGCGCAGGCGGUUAUGUAAGACAGUUGUGAAAUCCCCGGGCUCAACCUGGGAACUGCAUCUGUGACUGCAUAGCUAGAGUACGGUAGAGGGGGAUGGAAUUCCGCGUGUAGCAGUGAAAUGCGUAGAUAUGCGGAGGAACACCGAUGGCGAAGGCAAUCCCCUGGACCUGUACUGACGCUCAUGCACGAAAGCGUGGGGAGCAAACAGGAUUAGAUACCCCCGUAGUCCCUGUCUCUUAUAC
rnacentral:rRNA from 1 species